CGGCGGACGGGUGAGUAACGCGUGGGUAACCUGCCUCAUACAGGGGGAUAACAGUUAGAAAUGACUGCUAAUACCGCAUAAGACCACGGUACCGCAUGGUACAGUGGUAAAAACUCCGGUGGUAUGAGAUGGACCUGCGUCUGAUUAGGUAGUUGGUGGGGUAACGGCCUACCAAGCCGACGAUCAGUAGCCGACCUGAGAGGGUGAUCGGCCACAUUGGGACUGAGACACGGCCCAG
rnacentral:rRNA from 1 species